AGGAAAUAGAUACCCCGGUAGUCCACGCCGUAAACGAUGAGUACUGGGUGUAGGUGGGGUUAGAGCCAUCUGUGCCGAAAGCAAAAACGCGUUAAGUACUCCGCCUGGGGAGUACGGCCGCAAGGCUAAAACUCAAAGGAAUUGACGGGGGCCCGGCACAAGCAGCGGAGCGUGUGGUUUAAUUCGAUGCAACACGAAGAACCUUACCCAGGUUUGACAUGCACGUAGUAGUGAAGCGAAAGCGGAACGACCCUUCGGGGAGCGUGCACAGGUGCUGCACGGCUGUCGUCAGCUCGUGUCGUGAGAUGUUGGGUUAAGUCCCGCAACGAGCGCAACCCCUGUUGCUAGUUACACGUGUCUAGCGAGACUGCCGGUAUCAAGCUGGAGGAAGGUGGGGAUGACGUCAAGUCAGCAUGGCCUUUAUAUCUGGGGCUACACACACGCUACAAUGGGCGGUACAACGGGAAGCGAAGGGGCGACCUGGAGCGAAUCCCACCAAAGCCGUUCGUAGUUCAGAUUGCAGGCUGCAACUCG
rnacentral:rRNA from 1 species